rnacentral:misc_RNA from 1 species
AAGUCGUAACAAGGUCUCCGUAGGUGAACCUGCGGAGGGAUCAUUAUCGAGUGAGGGCCCCCGGGUCCGACCUCCAAACCCCAUUGUCAUCUGACCCUGUCGCCUCGGGGGUGACCCGGCCCUGUGCCGGGGCCCCGGCGGACCCCUCAACCCUGCAUCUUGCCGUCUGAGCGCAGAUAUGAAUCAAUCAAAA